CUUGGCACAACCUUUGGGACUGCCAUUGGGAUUGCCAUUGGGACAGCCAUGGGACAGCCUUUGGGACUGCCUCUGGGAUAGCCAUGGGACUGCCAUGGGGACUGAUGUGGGGGCAGCCUUCGGGACUGCCAUUUGGGAUAGCCACGGGACAGCGAUGGGACAGCCUUUGGGACCACCAUGGAACAGCCUUCGGGACAGCCUUUGGGACAGCCUUGGGAUGAAAGCGGAGUGCUGGG
rnacentral:lncRNA from 1 species